CUGGGCCGUUACUGACGCUGAGGAGCGAAAGCGUGGGGAGCGAACAGGAUUAGAUACCCUGGUAGUCCACGCCGUAAACGGUGGAUGCUGGAUGUGGGGCCCGUUCCACGGGUUCCGUGUCGGAGCUAACGCGUUAAGCAUCCCGCCUGGGGAGUACGGCCGCAAGGCUAAAACUCAAAGAAAUUGACGGGGGCCCGCACAAGCGGCGGAGCAUGCGGAUUAAUUCGAUGCAACGCGAAGAACCUUACCUGGGCUUGACAUGUUCCCGACAGCCGUAGAGAUAUGGCCUCCCUUCGGGGCGGGUUCACAGGUGGUGCAUGGUCGUCGUCAGCUCGUGUCGUGAGAUGUUGGGUUAAGUCCCGCAACGAGCGCAACCCUCGCCCUGUGUUGCCAGCACGUCGUGGUGGGAACUCACGGGGGACCGCCGGGGUCAACUCGGAGGAAGGUGGGGAUGACGUCAGAUCAUCAUGCCCCUUACGUCCAGGGCUUCACGCAUGCUACAAUGGCCGGUACAACGGGAUGCGACGCGGCGACGCGGAGCGGAUCCCUGAAAACCGGUCUCAGUUCGGAUCGCAGUCUGCAACUCGACUGCGUGAAGGCGGAGUCGCUAGUAAUCGCGGAUCAGCAACGCCGCGGUGAAUGCGUUCCCGGGCCUUGUACACACCGCCCGUCAAGUCAUGAAAGUGGGUAGCACCCGAAGCCGGUGGCCCAACCUUUUUGGGGGGAGCCGUCUAAGGUGAGACUCGUGAUUGGGACUAAGUCGUAACAAGGUAGCCGUACCGGAAGGUGCGGCUG
rnacentral:rRNA from 1 species